UACGUAGGGGGCUAGCGUUGUCCGGAAUCAUUGGGCGUAAAGAGCGUGUAGGCGGCCCGGUAAGUCCGCUGUGAAAGUCGGGGGCUCAACCCUCGAAAGCCGGUCGAUACUGCCGGACUAGAGUUCGGAAGAGGCGAGUGGAAUUCCCGGUGUAGCGGUGAAAUGCGCAGAUAUCAGGAGGAACACCAAUUGCGAAGGCAGCUCGCUGGGACGUUACUGACGCUGAGACGCGAAAGCGUGGGAGCAAACAGG
rnacentral:rRNA from 1 species